UCGGCGCCACCGCGCCGGAGUUUAAAAACUCCUCUUUUUUGGAUUUUUCUUUUUUGCUUUCUUCUUAUCUUUUCUCAAACGGUUUGGCCUAGAUCUAAGAAAAAAGAAAUACUACCUUUUGAAUGUUUUUUUUUUGAUCGGAUCUGAGGAUGUGUAGGAUUCGGUGUGUGGAUCGUGAUUUAUGAGAUUAUGUGUUGGGAUUUGAGUGGCUCGGUUGUAGUGUCGGAUUUGUGCUGUUGUGACUGGUUUAUGUGUCCUUUUGGGUGUUGGAGAAUUGCAGGCUUUGAUUGAUGAAUUUUGUGUUGAAAGAUUCCCCUGUGCUGUGCGCUGCUGCCAUUUUUAUAUAGCCAUGGGCUUUUGAGCAAAAAUUUGGCUUGAGAGUAAUUUGGAACCACGUGCACCAAUUAUUUGACAAAAAUAAUAAUAAAAAAUAAUAAUAAUGAAAAAGGAUAAAAAUACAAAUAAUGCUAAUAAUAAAAAAACAGCAAUAAACAAAAAUGAA
rnacentral:lncRNA from 1 species